CCUACGGGUGGCUGCAGUGGGGAAUAUUGGACAAUGGGGGGAACCCUGAUCCAGCCAUGCCGCGUGUGUGAAGAAGGCCCUCGGGUUGUAAAGCACUUUCAGUGAGGAAGAACGCCUGGUGGUUAAUAUCCAUCAGGAAAGACAUCACUCACAGAAGAAGCACCGGCUAACUCCGUGCCAGCAGCCGCGGUAAUACGGAGGGUGCGAGCGUUAAUCGGAAUUACUGGGCGUAAAGCGCGCGUAGGUGGCUUGAUAAGCCGGUUGUGAAAGCCCCGGGCUCAACCUGGGAACGGCAUCCGGAACUGUCAAGCUAGAGUGCAGGAGAGGAAGGUAGAAUUCCCGGUGUAGCGGUGAAAUGCGUAGAGAUCGGGAGGAAUACCAGUGGCGAAGGCGGCCUUCUGGACUGACACUGACACUGAGGUGCGAAAGCGUGGGUAGCAAACAGGAUUAGAUACCCCUGUAGUC
rnacentral:rRNA from 1 species